rnacentral:rRNA from 1 species
GAUGAGCGCUAGCGAUAGGCUUAACACAUGCAAGUCGAGGGGCAGCACAAGGUAGCUUGCUCUCUGGGUGGCGACCGGCGCACGGGUGCGUAACGCGUAUGCAACUUGCCCUAUACAGGAGGAUAACCCGUCGAAAGACGGACUAAUACUGCGUAUGCUCACAACUUGGCAUCAAGUGGUGAGGAAAGAAAUUCGGUAUAGGAUAGGCAUGCGUCCCAUUAGCUUGUUGGUGAGGUAACGGCUCACCAAGGCAACGAUGGGUAGGGGAACUGAGAGGUUUAUCCCCCACACUGGUACUGAGACACGGACCAGACUCCUACGGGAGGCAGCAGUGAGGAAUAUUGGUCAAUGGGCGCGAGCCUGAACCAGCCAAGUCGCGUGAAGGAGGACUGUCUUAUGGAUUGUAAACUUCUUUUAUACGGGAAUAACAAGAGUCACGUGUGACUCCCUGCAUGUACCGUAUGAAUAAGCAUCGGCUAACUCCGUG